AGAUUACUUUGAUUGCACUAGAGGAGACAGGGCUGCAGGGAGAAAGGGGAGCUCUAUUUUUAACAAUUCAUAGAUUUAAAUAGGGGAGAAGUGGGCAUUCCAGCCAGAGGCAGUGAGUGUGGGGCUGCAGGGCCCCAUCUGUGUUCCAGGAAUGUGGGGUGCAUACAGGAAUGCAGUUGGAAAUGCUCUGGUGUUGGAGGCUGCCCUCUUUUCCUCUCCAGCUUGAGCUGAGACUUCCCUUGGAGAUCUUCCCCACAGCAGUCGAACAGCCAGGUGCAUUCCAGAAUGCUAAGAACCAAAGGAGAAGGGCAUGCUUCUGACCAUGGUUUUUUACUUUUGAAAACUGAAGGAUCUAAGAUUUCUCCUCUUGUUCAGGAAGUGAGAGCAGAAUCAGACAGAAAAGAUGAAUACAGUGAGAAAAAAUAAAUUGGAAGAAGUGAACUCGAGAUCCAACUUGGUCUUCAAAUGGCCAGUGGAUUAUACCAACGCCCUUGCUACAACUCUCGUUCUGUGUUUUGAGAUGUCACCUUUAGAAUCCACUGAAUGCCUGCCUGUAUGUGGAACUGUAAUAGAUUGAAUGGAUACAUUGAAGUUUAGCUUCCUGAACUUGGGCAGAUUUCUGAAAAAUCCCUGAUCUUCGGCUUCAUCAUCUAUCAAUCAUCAAUGUCAGUACUUGCCAGUACCCUAGAUCCAACAGCAUUGUCCCUGGGCCACCUGAGUUUCAGGGCUCCCUAGAGAGCUUCCAGGAAGAAACCAUACCUCACAGAGAGGUUGUCUCUGCCCUUCAGCCCAGCUGGCAGCAUGACCUUGGGCAGGGCGUGUACCUUAAGGUCCCUCAUUUGAAGAGAGAAGGACCUGGAAUAUAAUGUUCCCAGAAAUCUAAUUUAUCCCGGAAAUAAUGUUCACUCAGUCACUGAGGUAGCACUGGUUGUUGGCUAAGCCUGGAAUGAGGCCUUGGAAGUUUUGAAAGCUUCCAGGUGAAUCCAUAACUGGGAACACACAUUUGCAUAAUGUGCCUUUCAGUAUUCUGUUCUUUGGAUGAUAUCACUGCUGCACUCACCACAAUGGAUAUGUGCUUGGUGGAGGUGUCUUCUUAGGUGUGUGUCAGAGCUCAAAUGUGUGUUCCUCUUGCUUCACUGUCUUUGACUGAGUAUGUGCAGGUGCAGGCUGGGCUCAAGUGCCCCAGUAGAGCACAAGUCGAUUCUAGUGCAUGCAGUUUGGGUGGAGGGAUGGAGGACCUUCCCAGGAUGGGUCUCCAGCAUCUUCCCCAGCUUCUCCAGCUGCCUGCCUUCCCUUCUUGACAGCUCUGGUGCAGAGGCUGCGGGCCAAGGAUGCACCUCCUCCAUGAGGGGCCCUUGAGCCUUCUUCCUUCCAGAGCUUGUGAAUGUUCUCAGACAUGUCCUGAGCAGAGCGUUGGCUGGGCUGACAGUUUUUACUUUGCUGUGUUAACUCAGAACUGGAAGUUUUCUAAGAAGCAGCCUCCUGAUACAUCAGGACUGCCCUUUCACAUGGAUGACCCAUGGGCCAGAUUCCUCUGGUGAUGGCCAGAGGACCCACUCCAGGCUUUGGGGCACGUGAAAAAUGUUUAAGGAAGGAAUAUGAUCUGAGCUGAAACCAGAUUGCUGUGGAGGUUAGGAUAGAUCAGGGGUAGACGUUGGAGGUGGGAAGAAGUGGGCUGCUGAGGGCAGACGGGGCAAGAGCAUUGGUCCGGGUAAGAGAUCCUGAGGUCUGGGUGAGGAAAAACAGUUGGGGGGGACUUGAGGUCACACAGUGAGUGACUCUGUAGAAGACAAACCCAAUGGCCCUGGCCCAGCACAAGAACCUCGUGUCAAAGGGUCAGAGUAAUAAGGUCAACUUGAGAACAUGGGCCUGUAUUCUGGAUUUUGAUCAUCUAAUCUGGAGUCUUACCUCUUGGCUGUGCCUUCUCCUCUUGGGGAGGCCCACCUCUGCCUGUGACCC